rnacentral:tRNA from 1 species
GCAGUUUUAUUAAAUAUACACAAGGGACUUAAAAUCCCUCGGGGUAAAACCCGUACCGGUUCAAGUCCGGUUAGCGGCACCA